rnacentral:rRNA from 1 species
AGAGUUUGAUCAUGGCUCAGAUUGAACGCUGGCGGCAGGCCUAACACAUGCAAGUCGAGCGGUAGCACAGAGAGCUUGCUCUCGGGUGACGAGCGGCGGACGGGUGAGUAAUGUCUGGGAAACUGCCUGAUGGAGGGGGAUAACUACUGGAAACGGUAGCUAAUACCGCAUAACGUCGCAAGACCAAAGUGGGGGACCUUCGGGCCUCAUGCCAUCAGAUGUGCCCAGAUGGGAUUAGCUAGUAGGUGGGGUAACGGCUCACCUAGGCGACGAUCCCUAGCUGGUCUGAGAGGAUGACCAGCCACACUGGAACUGAGACACGGUCCAGACUCCUACGGGAGGCAGCAGUGGGGAAUAUUGCACAAUGGGCGCAAGCCUGAUGCAGCCAUGCCGCGUGUGUGAAGAAGGCCUUCGGGUUGUAAAGCACUUUCAGCGGGGAGGAAGGCGNUAAGGUUAAUAACCUCAUCGAUUGACGUUACCCGCAGAAGAAGCACCGGCUAACUCCGUGCCAGCAGCCGCGGUAAUACGGAGGGUGCAAGCGUUAAUCGGAAUUACUGGGCGUAAAGCGCACGCAGGCGGUCUGUCAAGUCGGAUGUGAAAUCCCCGGGCUCAACCUGGGAACUGCAUUCGAAACUGGCAGGCUAGAGUCUUGUAGAGGGGGGUAGAAUUCCAGGUGUAGCGGUGAAAUGCGUAGAGAUCUGGAGGAAUACCGGUGGCGAAGGCGGCCCCCUGGACAAAGACUGACGCUCAGGUGCGAAAGCGUGGGGAGCAAACAGGAUUAGAUACCCUGGUAGUCCACGCCGUAAACGAUGUCGAUUUGGAGGUUGUGCCCUUGAGGCGUGGCUUCCGGAGCUAACGCGUUAAAUCGACCGCCUGGGGAGUACGGCCGCAAGGUUAAAACUCAAAUGAAUUGACGGGGGCCCGCACAAGCGGUGGAGCAUGUGGUUUAAUUCGAUGCAACGCGAAGAACCUUACCUGGUCUUGACAUCCACAGAACUUUCCAGAGAUGGAUUGGUGCCUUCGGGAACUGUGAGACAGGUGCUGCAUGGCUGUCGUCAGCUCGUGUUGUGAAAUGUUGGGUUAAGUCCCGCAACGAGCGCAACCCUUAUCCUUUGUUGCCAGCGGUUCGGCCGGGAACUCAAAGGAGACUGCCAGUGAUAAACUGGAGGAAGGUGGGGAUGACGUCAAGUCAUCAUGGCCCUUACGACCAGGGCUACACACGUGCUACAAUGGCAUAUACAAAGAGAAGCGACCUCGCGAGAGCAAGCGGACCUCAUAAAGUAUGUCGUAGUCCGGAUUGGAGUCUGCAACUCGACUCCAUGAAGUCGGAAUCGCUAGUAAUCGUAGAUCAGAAUGCUACGGUGAAUACGUUCCCGGGCCUUGUACACACCGCCCGUCACACCAUGGGAGUGGGUUGCAAAAGAAGUAGGUAGCUUAACCUUCGGGAGGGCGCUUACCACUUUGUGAUUCAUGACUGGGGUGAAGUCGUAACAAGGUAACCGUAGGGGAACCUGCGGUUGGAUCACCU